rnacentral:lncRNA from 1 species
UUAUAAUUUUAAAAUUGUAUAAUAAUAAGAAACCCUCACCUGAUAAUUUAAAUGUGUGAUGUUCAGGAAGCAUCUGCCUCACAAUAGGCAUUCUUCUCCAAAGAUAAACUAUAUGAAUGCGAUGUUUGUGAGAAGAAAUAUGUAAAGAAUGAUUAUGAUCAUAUAACUUCUCACUCAUAUCGCAUACAUAUUUGUUUUAAACUGCUCAUAUGUUACACCUGGUCUACACAUUUGUAACAGUAAUUAUUUUGAAACUCUGUAUUUAGUUUUGCAUACUUUAAAAUUUUUUCUCCCAUUUUAACAAAUUAUUGAAUAUGAUGUUUUACAAAACACUAUGUUCAAAUUUUUUUAUUUUGAAUAAGACUUAUAUCUACAUAGUAUUAAACAUCUGACAAGAAAUGUAUGAAUAUUAUUGUUGCAUUUUUUAAAAGGACAUAAUUUUAAUGAUAUAAGGCCUUUGAUGUAGAAUUAUGAACAUUACUUAUUCUAGUGUUUGUUUGUACCAAGAAGCAUUUGCGAAAUAUUUCUCAUAUUAUAACCAAGUUCUGUACUCUUGUACUUUAGUCUUGACUGGAGAGAACCAAUAUUUAUGCAGUUUGUGAAGGAAUAUAUAUGUUAGCAAUGUUCAAGUUCAUAUGUUAUCUUAUACACAUCUCAUUUAUAUCUGGCCAUAUACUGUUUAAAUGUAGUUCUUCAAUUUUCACAUUAUUAAAGGUUGUAUGCCAUUAAUAUUUGAUCAUGCACAUUAUUAAUUCUAUUUUUUGAUUGUUUCAGGAAGCAUUUGCCAAAAAUUGAUCAUAUUGCCAUUGAGUUCUGUGCUAUUGCAACAUCACUUUUACUGAAGACAACCAAUACUCAUGCAGUUUUUGUAGGAAGACAUAUGCUAAGUACUUUCAAGACAAGUGUCAUCUUACACACAACUCAUCUUAAUCUGGCUACACACUGUUUAAAUGCAGUUCUUCAAUUUUCACAUUAUUAAAGGUCAUAUGCCAUUAAUAUUGAAUUAUGAAUAUUAUUAUUUCUAGUGUUUGAUUGUUUCAGGAAAGAUUUGACAAAUAUUGAUUAUGAAUAUUAUUAUUUCUAGUGUUUGAUUGUUUCAGGAAAGAUUUGACAAAUAUUGAUCGAAAGAUUUGACAAAUAUUGAUCAUAUAUCCACCAAGUUCUGUGGGAUUCUGUGGGAAGUACUGUAGCCUUGACCGAAGACAACAAAUAUCAAUUGGCCGUGUUUAGGAAGAAAUAUAUUAACAAUGUUCAAGGUCAAAUGUUAUUUUAUGCACAACUCAUCUAGAUCUGGCCUAAUUUUGUUUAAAUGCUGUUCCUCAAUUUACAAAUUUUUGAAGGUCGUAUACCAUUUUUUAUUUGGUUUUUAAAAAUUUAAUUUAAUUAUGUUUUUAUUUAAUAAAUUUAAUUCUCAAACAUCUUUAUUUUUAAAGCCAAAUUAUUCUUAAUUGCUCCGUAUUAUAUAAUAUUUCCCUUAACUUUAUUAUAUUAACAACAAAUAUUAUUCAAUACAUUAUAAAUAUUUUAAGUUCUGUAGUUUAUUGUUAUAAUUUUAAAAUUGUAUAAUAAUAAGAAACCCUCACCUGAUAAUUUAAAUGUGUGAUGUUCAGGAAGCAUCUGCCUCACAAUAGGCAUUCUUCUCCAAAGAUAAACUAUAUGAAUGCGAUGUUUGUGAGAAGAAAUAUGUAAAGAAUGAUUAUGAUCAUAUAACUUCUCUCACAUAUCGCAUACAUAUUUGUUUUAAACUGCUCAUAUGUUACACCUGGUCUACACAUUUGUAACAGUUAUCAUUUUGAAACUCUGUAUUUAGUUUUGCAUACUUUAAAAUUUUUUCUCCCAUUUUAACAAAUUAUUGAAUAUGAUGUUUUACAAAACACUAUGUUCAAAUUUUUUUAUUUUGAAUAAGACUUAUAUCUACAUAGUAUUAAACAUCUGACAAGAAAUGUAUGAAUAUUAUUGUUGCAUUUUUUAAAAGGACAUAAUUUUAAUGAUAUAAGGCCUUUGAUGUAGAAUUAUGAACAUUACUUAUUCUAGUGUUUGUUUGUACCAAGAAGCAAA